rnacentral:lncRNA from 1 species
AGCUGCUAGCUGCAUCAGAUUCUCUCAUGGCUCUGUAAAUACAGGAUAAAUACUGUCACAUAUACUCCUCUAUGACUAGUUUAUUCAUUGCAGCUCUAGGGAAGCUACUCUGGGACCCAGAUGGACGCCAGAGAGAUGGCCCAAGCUUCUUUCUCAUCUUCAGCACUGCAUCUAUCACCACAGCAAGCUGGGUCCUCAAGCAUCCACCAGGU